rnacentral:rRNA from 1 species
UGGGGAAUAUUGGACAAUGGGCGCAAGCCUGAUCCAGCCAUGCCGCGUGGGUGAAGAAGGCCUUCGGGUUGUAAAGCCCUUUUGUUGGGAAAGAAAUCCAGCCGGCUAAUACCUGGUUGGGAUGACGGUACCCAAAGAAUAAGCACCGGCUAACUUCGUGCCAGCAGCCGCGGUAAUACGAAGGGUGCAAGCGUUACUCGGAAUUACUGGGCGUAAAGCGUGCGUAGGUGGUUGUUUAAGUCUGUUGUGAAAGCCCUGGGCUCAACCUGGGAACUGCAGUGGAAACUGGACAACUAGAGUGUGGUAGAGGGUAGCGGAAUUCCCGGUGUAGCAGUGAAAUGCGUAGAGAUCGGGAGGAACAUCCAUGGCGAAGGCAGCUACCUGGACCAACACUGACACUGAGGCACGAAAGCGUGGGGAGCAAACA